CCUACGGGAGGCAGCAGUGAGGAAUAUUGGUCAAUGGACGAGAGUCUGAACCAGCCAAGUAGCGUGAAGGAUGACUGCCCUAUGUGUUGUAAACUUCUUUUAUAUGGGAAUAAAAUGUUCCACGUGUGGGAUUUUGUAUGUACCAUAUGAAUAAGGAUCGGCUAACUCCGUGCCAGCAGCCGCGGUAAUCCGGAGGAUCCGAGCGUUAUCCGGUGUUAUUGGGUUUAAAGGGAGCGUAGGUGGAUUGUUAAGUCAGUUGUGAAAGUUUGAGGCUCAAACGUAAAAUUGCAGUUGAAACUGGCAGUCUUGAGUACAGGAGAGGUGGGCGGAAGUCGUGGUGUAGCGGUGAAAUGCUUAGAUAUCACGAAGAACUCCGAUUGCGAAGGCAGUUCACUGGACUGCAACUGACACUGAGGAUCGAAAGUGUGGGUAUCAAACAGGAUUAGAUACCCGAGUAGUC
rnacentral:rRNA from 1 species